rnacentral:rRNA from 1 species
UACGUAGGGCGCGAGCGUUGUCCGGAAUCAUUGGGCGUAAAGAGCUCGUAGGCGGCCUGUCGCGUCUGCUGUGAAAUCCCGGGGCUCAACCCCGGGCGUGCAGUGGAUACGGGCUGGCUGGAGGCAGGCAGGGGAGAACGGAAUUCCCGGUGUAGCGGUGAAAUGCGCAGAUAUCGGGAGGAACACCGGUGGCGAAGGCGGUUCUCCGGGACGGUACUGACGCUGAGACGCGAAAGCGUGGGGAGCGAACAGG